rnacentral:rRNA from 1 species
AGUGAACGCUGGCGGUAGGCCUAACACAUGCAAGUCGAACGGCAGCACAGUAAGAGCUUGCUCUUACGGGUGGCGAGUGGCGGACGGGUGAGGAAUACAUCGGAAUCUACUUUUUCGUGGGGGAUAACGUAGGGAAACUUACGCUAAUACCGCAUACGACCUACGGGUGAAAGCAGGGGAUCUUCGGACCUUGCGCGAUUGAAUGAGCCGAUGUCGGAUUAGCUAGUUGGCGGGGUAAAGGCCCACCCAGGCGACGAUCCGUAGCUGGUCUGAGAGGAUGAUCAGCCACACUGGAACUGAGACACGGUCCAGACUCCUACGGGAGGCAGCAGUGGGGAAUAUUGGACAAUGGGCGCAAGCCUGAUCCAGCCAUAGCGCGUGGGUGAAGAAGGCCUUCGGGUUGUAAAGCCCUUUUGUUGGGAAAGAAAAGCAGCAGGUUAAUACCCCGCUGUUCUGACGGUACCCAAAGAAUAAGCACCGGCUAACUUCGUG